rnacentral:rRNA from 1 species
CCUACGGGAGGCAGCAGUGGGGAAUAUUGCGCAAUGGGCGAAAGCCUGACGCAGCGACGCCGCGUGAGGGAUGAAGGUCUUCGGAUCGUAAACCUCUGUCAGCAGGGAAGAACGGUCACUGUACUAAUCAGCAGUGAAUUGACGGUACCUGCACAGGAAGCACCGGCUAAAUCCGUGACAGCAGCCUCGGUAAUACGGAGGGUGCGAGCGUUAAUCGGAAUUACUGGGCGUACAGCGCUCGUAGGCGUGAUGUCAAGUCCAGGGUGAAAUCCCCGCGCUCAACGUGGGAACUGCCGUUGAUACUGGCAAACUUGAGUUUGUGAGAGGAUAGUGGAAUUCCAGGUGUAGGAGUGAAAUCCGUAGAUAUCUGGAGGAACAUCAGUGGCGAAGGCGACUUUCUGGCACAUAACUGACGCUGAGGAGCGAAAGUGUGGGUAGCAAACAGGAUUAGAUACCCGUGUAGUC